CACACACAUAUAUACAUACAUAUACACAUAUAUACAUACACACACAUAUACAUGUACAUAUAUUGGUCACUCAGGACAUGAACUCACAUUUCCCAUACUGCUGACUCAGAGUGGGGACACUACUAACUUACCAAAGUGUGUCCCCAAUAUAGACAAACAAUCACCCACAAAAAACACUUAAGACAAACAAAGGUGACCGGGAGAAAGAGAAGUUUGGGUUAUACUUAUAGAUCUACAAACCAUGCUGCUCAGAACACCUAUAGACUUAAUAAACCGGAGACCUCUUAUGGUCUCAAAAACCUGUAUCUACCUGAGAUACCCUGUAUCUAUCUUAGAUACUAACCUGGGUUACCAAAACCCUAUAAUAAACCGGAGACCUCUUAUGGUCUCAAAAACCUGUAUCUAUCUUAGAUACUAACCUGGGUUACCAAGAACCCUAUAUAUAUUUAGACCAAAUGUCUAAUAAACCGGAGACCUCUUAUAGUCUCAAUAUAACUAGAGUCCUUACACCUUUCCUAUCUACUGGAUACAGUCUUACUGAACCAAAGGGGGUCAUAGACAAUCAGCGUCAAAUAAGACACAAAAAGGCUACUCACCGCAAUGGUUUUGCUGAUCCAACUUCUAUCCCACUUCUAGACACCAAGCUGAAAGGGUUAAUGUUGUAAUGGACUCUAAUCCCCUCGGUUCUCGAUCCCUCGGUCACCAUAAUCAACGUUGAUGGAGAGUCAUUUGUAAGCAAUAACACACGGACAACAGCUUUACAAGACUCUCAAAUGAGUGUAUUCCAGAGCUGGCUUUUAUACAUAGUUUGCUUACAUUAGCCAUGGUAUAUGCAAAUACAGUACAGACUAUAAGAUUUAUUACUUCCUUGUAUUACGUUAUUCUGACAAUGGAAAGAUAAGCUUUUGCAUACGUCUGGGAAAGAAUAUCCUUAAAAUCGGAAUGGGCAAGACAUCCUGAAAUUUAGCAUUGUCUUACAUCCUAUAGAAGAAAUACCUUAG